GAGUGUUUUAAAUCGACACGUGUUAUAUUAAUUUAUGAUAUCACAUUCACAAACACGACAUCCACACUUAGCAUGCCAACUCAAAAUAUUCAUGCUGCGUCCUUUGAAAAGUAAAAACUGACAAGCGGUCGAAUAAGCGUAUUUCAGCAAAUAUAGACAAGUUAAUCCUCCACACAUAGUCGUUUUUAGCCAAAUAUAGCAAAAUAAACGAAUUCGCAACGACUUGGAAUGGAAGUGCUACUAUUAUAAUCAUUGUAGCGAAAAAGUUGACUACGGACACAGAGUACAUAUUAUAACUACGGAUAAAGGUGUAAAUGUAAAAUAAAUUAUUAGAGUUGGUUGGCAACCCCGGAUCGCCGUCCGUGAUGUCCUGCCGUCAGUGUUGCCAGAUCUCCUGAUUUAUCAGGAGAUCUCCUGAUUUCGAGGUGCAUCUCCUGAAUUCCUGAUCUCCUGAUUUUUACCAAAAAUUUCCUGAUUUUCCCAAAUAUCUCCUAAUUUUUCCCGAAAAUCUCCUGACUUUGUGAGAAAUUUCUUAGUGUUCACGAUUAUGGUGUUAAAAUUCUAUUCUAUUCAAAUUUCUCGAAGUGAGUGUAUGGCGGCAAUCGGCAAAUUGCAGUAAUAAUACAGAUGUAGUGCAAAAAUACUUUCCUUCUUAUUUUUACGUACAAAACGUACUGAAACUGUCUGAACUAGCAUGACAAUGACGAAUUUUUCCGUAAAAACACGAAGGAAAACCUUUUCGCACUACAUCUGUACUGUACAUAACACUGCCUUAAAUACGUCAUAGUAAUAGUAUUAUGAACCAAGUUUUAAAUGACAAGAUUUGACUGACCAUAUUUUUUUUAAAUAUUUAAUUAACGUAGAUGUUACAAAUAAUUGUGAAAAUAAACUAAAAGAAGAAUAAUAUCAUCAAUUUAUGACUUUGGAGAAAUUAUGUCUCCUGAUUUCUCCUGAUUUUUAGGACAUGUGUCUCCUGUUUUUUCAAAUUGGACCUGGCAACACUGCCUGCCGUCGCCAUCUUUCAUUUCCUCUCGUCUCGAGCGUUGCGUGUCUGUUCUUGCUGUAAUAAAGUGCUGUAUCAAAAAAUGGAUCACAUUGAAGACCAUGAUCAUGCAGGUUGUUUUUGUUGCUGCUUCAUCUUGGACAAGUUGGCAACCAGCAACAAGACCCGGCCUGCGAGCAAUGACCAGUGAAAUCCGCAACGGACCUAUAAGAAGCUAUCCCUGUUCCUGCACUAUCAUCGGGCGAGGUGAACAUCGCUGGUCCAUGUGAUGCGGCGGAUCUAUCUCGAAGUUAACAAAAUGGUUGUAUUUGUGGCGCAGCGCUCUGCUACUGCCACGGGCUGUUCUCCGACUGGAGACCCACGUGUCAGCUCGACAGUGUCGCCUCCUUGCUUCGCCCCGGUGGAAUUUGGUAUGUCACCUGAGGCGAGGAGGAUUUGAGUAGGUGCAUAUGCGAACGGCCUAAGUGACGCCUCUUCAACGCGACGGGUGUAUUCUCCUCAAAUAUGAGAAGGAGCUCGGGUCCUGUGGGCUCUUAACCGUCGUAGUUUUCACGCAGUGUUUUAAAAUAGUGUUUGUGUGUAUUAUGGUAACAUACGUUCAAUUCAAAUGUGUAACACUACAUAACUAUACAUAGGUAUCACUUUUCAUUAGUAUGGUGAUGUUUUUCCGGCCUGAAGAAAAAACUUCAAAUAAAAUAAUUAUGUUGUCUGUA
rnacentral:lncRNA from 1 species